CUCUCUCUCUCUCUUUGUUUAGCGGGACAGAGACGCGAGGAGAAGACAUACUGAAAUUAAAGAAGAGAAAAAGAAGGGUCAUUUGCAACUAAUACGUUUUUUUCU
rnacentral:ribozyme from 14 species